CCCCUAGAUGUUCUGGGCCGCACGCGCGCUACACUGAACAGUUCAACAAGUCUUAACCUUGGCCGAUAGGUCUGGGUAAUCUUUGAACGCUGUUCGUGACUGGGAUAGACCUUUGCAAUUAUGGGUCUUCAACGAGGAAUUCCUAGUAAACGCAAGUCAUCAGCUUGCAUUGAUUACGUCCCCGCCCUUUGUACACACCGCCCGUCGCACCUACCGAUUGAAUGGUCCGGUGAAAUCUCGGGACGGCGGCUUGGUCGCUUGCGUCCGACUGCUGAAACUUGAUUAAACCAUAUCAUUUAGAGGAAGGUGAAGUCGUAACA
rnacentral:rRNA from 1 species